rnacentral:tRNA from 1 species
GGCCGGUUAGCUCAGUUGGUUAGAGCGUGAUGCUGAUAACACCAAGACCGCAGGUUUGAUCCCUUUUCGGUCC